rnacentral:rRNA from 1 species
AUUGAACGCUGGCGGCAUGCCUUACACAUGCAAGUCGAACGGCAGCACGGGUGCUUGCACCUGGUGGCGAGUGGCGAACGGGUGAGUAAUACAUCGGAACGUACCUUAUCGUGGGGGAUAACGCAGCGAAAGCUGUGCUAAUACCGCAUACGCCCUGAGGGGGAAAGCGGGGGAUCGAAAGACCUCGCGCGAUUAGAGCGGCCGAUGCCUGAUUAGCUUGUUGGUGGGGUAAAAGCCCACCAAGGCGACGAUCAGUAGCUGGUCUGAGAGGACGAUCAGCCCCACUGGGACUGAGAGACGGCCGAGACUCCUACGGGAGGCAGCAGUGGGGAAUUUUGGACAAUGGGGGCAACCCUGAUCCAGCAAUGCCGCGUGAGUGAAGAAGGCCUUCGGGUUGUAAAGCUCUUUUGUCAGGGAAGAAACACCGGCUCUAACACAGUCCGGGAAUGACGGUACCUGAAGAAUAAGCACCGGCUAACUACGUGCCAGCCGCCGCGGUAA